rnacentral:rRNA from 1 species
GACGAACGCUGGCGGCGUGCUUAACACAUGCAAGUCGAACGGAAAGGCUCCAGCUUGCUGGAGUACUCGAGUGGCGAACGGGUGAGUAACACGUGGGUAAUCUGCCCUGCACUCUGGGAUAAGCCUGGGAAACUGGGUCUAAUACUGGAUAUGACCUUUCUCCUUAUGGGGUUUGGUGGAAAGUUUUUCGGUGUAGGAUGAGCCCGCGGCCUAUCAGCUUGUUGGUGGGGUGAUGGCCUACCAAGGCGACGACGGGUAGCCGGCCUGAGAGGGUGAUCGGCCACAAUGGGACUGAGAUACGGCCCAGACUCCUACGGGAGGCAGCAGUGGGGAAUAUUGCACAAUGGGCGGAAGCCUGAUGCAGCGACGCCGCGUGAGGGAUGACGGCCUUCGGGUUGUAAACCUCUUUCAGCAGGGACGAAGCGUAAGUGACGGUACCUGCAGAAGAAGCACCGGCUAACUAUGUG